rnacentral:rRNA from 1 species
UGAGGAAUAUUGGUCAAUGGUCGGGAGACUGAACCAGCCAAGCCGCGUGAGGGAUGAAGGUCUUCGGAUCGUAAAACUCUGUUGCGGGGGAAAAAGGAAGGGAAGAGGAAAUGCUUUUUCUUUUGAUGGUACCCCGCCAGAAAGUCACGGCUAACUACGUGCCAGCAGCCGCGGUAAUACGUAGGUGGCAAGCGUUAUCCGGAAUGAUUGGGCGUAAAGGGUGCGCAGGCUGCGCGUCAAGUCUGAAGUGAAAGGUACGGGCUUAACCGGUACAGGCUUUGGAAACUGGCACGCUAGAGGACAGGAGAGGGCGGUGGAACUCCAUGUGUAGCGGUAAAAUGCGUAGAUAUAUGGAAGAACACCAGUUGCGAAGGCGACCGCCUGGACUGUUGCUGACGCUCAGGCACGAAAGCGUGGGGAGCAAAUAGGAUUAGAUACC